rnacentral:rRNA from 1 species
UACGUAGGGUGCAAGCGUUGUCCGGAAUCACUGGGCGUAAAGGGAGCGUAGGCGGGUUUCUAAGUCAGGUGUUUAAUCCCGGGGGCCCAACCCCGGACAGGCACUUGAAACUGGGAAUCUUGAAUAGUGGAGAGGUCAGUGGAAUUGGGGGUGUAGCGGUGGAAUGCGUAGAGAUCCCCAAGAACACCAGUUGCGAAGGCGGCUGACUGGACACAUAUUGACGCUGAGGCUCGAAAGCAUGGGGAGCAAACAGG